rnacentral:rRNA from 1 species
GAUCAUGGCUACAGAACGAACGCUGGCGGCAGGCCUCAAACAUGCAAGUCUAGGGGGUGUAGCAAUACAUCACCGGCGGACGGGUGCGUAACACGUGGGAAUAUACCUUUUGGUUCGGAACAACGCAGGGAAACUUGCGCUAAUACCGAAUGUGCCCUUACGGGGAAAGAUUUAUCGCCAAAGGAUUAGCCCGCGUAGGAUUAGCUAGUUGGUGAGGUAAUGGCUCACCAAGGCUCCGAUCCUUAGCUGUUCUGAGAGGAAGAUCAGCCACACUGGGACUGAGACACGGCCCAGACUCCUACGGGAGGCAGCAGUUGGGAAUCUUGGACAAUGGGGGAAACCCUGAUCCAGCCAUGCCGCGUGAGUGAUGAAGGCCUUCGGGUUGUAAAACUCUUUCGACGGGGACGAUAAUGACGGUACCCGUAGAAGAAGCUCCGGCUAACUUCGUG